CUUCAAUCCAUACAGAAAAAAAGCGGUGACGCAGUACACACGAAGACCGCUAUUCGUCGCUCAGGAAACGGACUGUGCUCGAGACCGAUUGCAUUAUGAACAAAUUUCGCCUAGGCAUGCGAACAAUUAUGCAUUGCUACUCAAUUUAAGAACAGGCCAUUUAUUUCAGUUGUAAUGCUUAAUAUUAUUGAGAUAUUAGAUUCCGUGUUAGCAGUGAGCUAGCUAGCUAUCUAUCAAGCAUCUUCUGACAGUGACAUUUAUGUCUCUGCCUUGUGCGGUGUUCUCCUUCUUGGAAUGGGAUCGCAGACUGAUGUUCCGAACAGCUUAGUGAUUCAAACGAACAAAUCCAGAUCCUCCGUCUCUGAGUGACGCAGCUAUGUAUGUGUUUGGGCCCCAUGGUUGACUGCCAGGUGUGUGUAGUGUUUUUAUUCCCCGUGCUCCUCCAUAG